rnacentral:rRNA from 1 species
AUUGAACGCUGGCGGCAGGCCUAACACAUGCAAGUCGAGCGGAUGAAGGGAGCUUGCUCCUGGAUUCAGCGGCGGACGGGUGAGUAAUGCCUAGGAAUCUGCCUGGUAGUGGGGGAUAACGUCCUGAAACGGGCGCUAAUACCGCAUACGUCCUGAGGGAGAAAUUGGGGGAUCUUCGGACCUCACGCUAUCAGAUGAGCCUAGGUCGGAUUAGCUAGUUGGUGGGGUAAAGGCCUUCCAAGGCGACGAUCCGUAACUGGUCUGAGAGGAUGAUCAGUCACACUGGAACUGAGACACGGUCCAGACUCCGACGGGAGGCAGCAGUGGGGAAUAUUGGACGAUGGGCGAAAGCCUGAUCCAGCCAUGCCGCGUGUGGGAAGAAGGUCUUCGGAUUGUAAAGCACUUUAAGUUGGGAGGAAGGGCAGUAAGUUAAUACCUUGCUGUUUUGACGUUACCAACAGAAUAAGCACCGGCUAACUUCGUG